rfam:Rhodobacter sp. SW2 ctg00002, whole genome shotgun sequence.
GGCGUAUUUUGCCCAGGCGGAGCUCGACCGCCCGUUUCGCAAAUGACUGCUUUCAUUGAAGAACACCGCGGGGAGUUCGGGGUCGAGCCGAUGUGUAGAAUUCUACAGAUCGCUCCU